rnacentral:rRNA from 1 species
GAGUUUGAUCAUGGCUCAGAUUGAACGCUGGCGGCAUGCCUUACACAUGCAAGUCGAACGGCAGCACGGGAGCUUGCUCCUGGGUGGCGAGUGGCGAACGGGUGAGUAAUGCAUCGGAACGUAUCCUGGAGUGGGGGGAUAACGUAGCGAAAGUUACGCUAAUACCGCAUAUUCUGUGAGCAGGAAAGCGGGGGACCUUCGGGCCUCGCGCUCUUGGAGCGGCCGAUGUCGGAUUAGCUAGUUGGUGAGGUAAAGGCUCACCAAGGCGACGAUCCGUAGCAGGUCUGAGAGGAUGAUCUGCCACACUGGAACUGAGACACGGUCCAGACUCCUACGGGAGGCAGCAGUGGGGAAUUUUGGACAAUGGGGGCAACCGUGAUCCAGCCAUGCCGCGUGAGUGAAGAAGGCCUUCGGUUGUAAG